CAAACGGGUGGGCCCUCGAAAUCCUUCUUGCGGGGGGAUUCAGUCAGGAAGGGCGGAGGUGUCUGCCGGUUGAUCAGAACGGACCCUUUGAAAGGCCGGGCCGGUUGCACCGUCUCCGUCUUACCUGACGCACUUCCUCCCGCACUAUGGACGCCGCAGCCGGUUGGGUAGCUGCGCGAGUCGGCCAUGAGGGCAGGCGAUGGCAGGUGGCCGGUGGCUUAGCCUCGGCUUCGCCGCCGGUUGUUAGCCGGUUCUUGCCCGUGGCGCGACACCCGACCGAGGUUGAACGGUUCCCUUAAUGGGAACUGGCCUUCCCCUCCUCCACAAGAGUAGCGGGCAUUCCGGCAGGUGUGGCCAGGUGUUGCUUCGUCACUCCCCGUAGUGGCCGGCACUCCGAGCUCACCGCUGGUCGAAAGUUGUCCCGCGGAGGGUUCUACUGGGGCUGGCGGCGAGUAGGUCGGUCACCCACCCGACCCGUCUUGAAACACGGACCAAGGAGUCUAACAUGUGCGCGAGUCAAGGGGUCUUGAUCAGGCCCAGAGGCGCAAUGAAAGUGAAGGCCGUCCUCGACGUCGGCUGUGUUGGGACUCUUCCGCCCGCCUCGGCGCGGCGGGGAAGCACCAACGACCCGUCCUAUCCGAUUUAUCGGUUGGGCGGAGUCUGAGCGUACACGUUGGGACCCGAAAGAUGGUGAACUAUGCCUGGGCAGGACGAAGCCAGAGGAAACUCUGGUGGAGGUCCGUAGCGGUUCUGACGUGCAAAUCGAUCGUCAGACCUGGGUAUAGG
rnacentral:rRNA from 1 species